UGCACACAGGGUGACAACAUCACCAUAACAACAGGACAAGGUGGCAUUCAAUAAUAACAGAAAAUUACUCUGUGCUCUUAGGGAUUUUUUUUUUUUUUUUUUGAGUAUUCAGGGAUUUUUUCUGCAAAUUAAUGAUUAGACUUCAUUAGGUGAAGAGUGAGCUAAAAAAAGAAUGAUGUAAGAAAGGCAAGUGCCUGCCUGCUGAAUCACACAAGAGAGAGAGAAUGAGCUCCCUGUGAGGAAAGAUGACAAGUUUACAAUUGUGAGAUCAGCAUUUCAGGAAAACAUCAGAAAACAAUUGUGCUCAGC